rnacentral:lncRNA from 1 species
UUCCGGGGAGUCUAACUCUGGGCGGGCCUGAGAGGGGGCAGAUGGUGGGAGGGGCUCCUUCUGACCCCUAAGUCCCCAAGCUCUCCAGCCCCCCGCUGCCCGACCCGCGUCAGGCCUCGGGCUGGGCUCGGGCCCCAGGCGCUGCCCCGGCUCCCUCUCUGGUUCCUGGCCUCCGUCCUCCGCAGCUGAGCCCCGCUCGGCUCCACCCCAGGCUCUAUCGCCUGCUCUGUCGCCUGCUCCAUCGCUGGCUCCCGAUCUGGCUCCCGUUCCCACUCCCCGCCCGGUGUGCUCAGCUUGCUCGGGGCGUCUCCCUACUGAAGAAUUAUGUUGCAUAAAGCAGCCGCCACCAUCUUGAACUGGCAGUGAACUUUGCUUUCUACAUAUAAAUACAGAUAGCAAUCACACCCCAAUCAGCGCAGAGGCUUCAGGGCAUCAUCUCAGCAACUCUAACUUUCCCAUUACGAUAAUGUGAUUUUCACUCAGUCUAUAAUAUCACCAGCCAUGAAUAAAGCAACUGGCUCUUUCUCUCUCUCUCUUCCCUCCCCCCUUUCUCUGCCUCUCUCCCACCCACUUCAGUCUUUCUUUUCCUCCUUCACACCCUCCUCUUCUGUCUCUCUGCAACCCCUCCUGGUGAUCUCUGAGUCUCUGAGCACCUCCGCCUUCCUCUCCCACUGCCUCUUUCUCCCCCUCAUCCUCUGGGACUCACAUUCCCUAAAUACUAAUGGCAGGGAUUUGCUGUGCCCCAUGGCUCAGUUAAGUUCUGCUCCCCAGCUCUGCCAUCAUCUGCCUUUGCCUGAAGGUACCAGGAUGGCUCUCUGCAAGGAUUCCCACCAGGAAUGCCAAAGCCAGAGACUUAGGGACCAAAGGACCCAGAAGGGAGAUCUGAAAAAUUCCUGCUUAGGGGCGGGUCCUGGAGGCUCUGAUUUUUCUGGGUAUUGAGGGACCCAAACUCAACCAGAUUCCAAAUGCCAGACGAUUGUGAGUAGAUACAGCUGGUGAGAGGGUGCUCUGGAGACGCCUGCAGAAAAGAGAGGAAACUGGCCCAGCCUCCUAGAGACACUUCUGAGUACGGCUCGGUCCUGAGCCUGACGGCAGUCCAGGCUGUAGCUGCCUUUGCCAGGACAUGUGAUAAAGGCCCGCAGAUCCUUGAUCAAGGUGUCAGCCACUUUGUCGGAGCUCCUGGAAAGGGCUUCUCUUUCCUUCAUGGACAUUCUCCAGAUGGAUUCUCGCUUUGCCACCCAGCCUGGAGUACAGUGGUACAAUCUCGGCUCACUGCAAUCUCCGCCUCCCAGGUUCAAGUGAUUCUCCUGCCUCAGCUUCCCGAGUAGCUGGGACUACAGGUUUGUGCCACCGUGCCCAGAUAAUUUUUGUAUUUUUGGUAGAGACCAUGUUUCACCAUGUUGGCCAGGCUGGUCUCGAACUCCUGACCUCAGGUGAUCCACCCACCUGGGCCCCCAAAACUGCUGGGAUUACAGGCGUGAGCCACCGUGCCCAGCCAAGCAACACAUUAUUAACCAAGUGCUGUAGCUAAGGGAACUGAAUCACCUGUAAACUCAUGACAGAAUGCGGAGUCUGGUCUCCUCCCUAUGCCUAACUCCACUGCUCACAGACAGGGUCCAUGGCUUCCAGGUGAUAUUGCCCAGUAUUGGGGGACAGGCAUGAGAACAUGGAAGGGAAGCACAGAGUGAGAGACACAUAUAGAGAUAACUGCAGGGUGCAGCAGGGCAGAAAAAGAGUGGUAAGUUCAGUCUGAAGAGCCAGGUGACACUUCAUAGAGGAGAUGGUGCUCCAGCUAACGUAAAUAUAGGCAAAAUGGGAGGGCAAAGAGAAGGAAAGGCAUUCAAGCAGGGGGAAUGGCACAUCCAAAAGCCUUAAGGUGUGGAACAGCCUGGCACAUCUGGAGAACUCCACUGAAGUACAGGGGAGGGCAUAGGGAGGGCACUUUGGGAGAGAGGCCAGCAGAAGGAGAAAGAGAGUAAAGGGCUGUGCCAAGGAGUUAGGCUCUCACCCUGUGAGCAGGGGCCCACUGACGGGCUUUCACAUGGAGUGAUUUGCAUUUCAGAAAAAUAACUCUGAGGAUGAUACAGAGAAUGGGGGGAGGGUGCAACCGGAAACAUUGGAGACCAGGAGACCAGGGAGGAGGCUCCCCCCAACCCCCAGGCUGGAGUGCAAUGGUACAAUCUCAGCUCACUGCAACCUCCACCUCCUGGGUUUAAGAUAUUCUCCUCCCUCAGCCUCCCGAGUAGCUGGAAUUACAGGCGUCCACCAC